rnacentral:rRNA from 1 species
AUUGAACGCUGGCGGCAGGCCUAACACAUGCAAGUCGAACGAGUGGCGGACGGGUGAGUAAUGUCUGGGAAACUGCCUGAUGUAGGGGGAUAACUACUGGAAACGGUAGCUAAUACCGCAUACCAUCGGAUGUGCCCAGAGGGGAUUAGCUAGUAGGGGGGGUAACGGCUCACCUAGGCGACGAUGCCUAGCUGGUCUGAGAGGAUGACCGGCCACACUGGAACUGAGACACGGUCCAGACUCCUACGGGAGGCAGCAGUAGGGAAUAUUGCACAAUGGGCGAAAGCCGGAUGCAGCCAUGCCGCGUGUAUGAAGAAGGCCUUCGGGUUGUAAAGUACUUUCAGCGGGGAGGCGUUACCCGCAGAAGAAGCACCGGCUAACUCCGUGCCAGCAGCCGCGGUAAUUC